rnacentral:rRNA from 1 species
GAUGAACGCUGGCGGCGUGCCUAAUACAUGCAAGUCGAGCGAACGGACGAGAAGCUUGCUUCUCUGAUGUUAGCGGCGGACGGGUGAGUAACACGUGGAUAACCUACCUAUAAGACUGGGAUAACUUCGGGAAACCGGAGCUAAUACCGGAUAAUAUUUUGAACCGCAUGGUUCAAAAGUGAAAGACGGUCUUGCUGUCACUUAUAGAUGGAUCCGCGCUGCAUUAGCUAGUUGGUAAGGUAACGGCUUACCAAGGCAACGAGGCAUAGCCGACCUGAGAGGGGGGUCGGCCACCUUGGAACUGAGCCGCGCACAAGACGCCUACGGGAGGCAGCAGUAGGGAAUCUGCCGCAAUGGGCGAAAGCCUGACGGAGCAACGCCGCGUGAGUGAUGAAGGUCUUCGGAUCGUAAAACUCUGUUAUUAGGGAAGAACAUAUGUGUAAGUAACUGUGCACAUCUUGACGGUACCGAAUCAGAAAGCCACGGCUAACUACGUG